rnacentral:rRNA from 2 species
CAGCAGCCGCGNUAAUACGUAGGGGGCGAGCGUUGUCCGGAAUUAUUGGGCGUAAAGCGCGCGCAGGCGGUCCCUUAAGUCUGAUGUGAAAGCCCACGGCUCAACCGUGGAGGGUCAUUGGAAACUGGGGGACUUGAGGGCAGGAGAGGAGAGCGGAAUUCCACGUGUAGCGNUGAAAUGCGUAGAGAUGUGGAGGAACACCAGUGNCGAAGGCGGSUCUCUGGCCUGCAACUGACGCUGAGGCGCGAAAGCGUGGGGNGCAAACAGGAUUAGAUACCCUGGUAGUCCACGCCGUAAACGAUGAGUGCUAAGUGUUAGAGGGGUCACACCCUUUAGUGCUGCAGCUAACGCGAUAAGCACUCCGCCUGGGGAGUACGGCCGCAAGGCUGAAACUCAAAGGAAUUGACNG